AUUUUGCCCAAAGCGGGGCCGUGAUGGCGCUCGAAGCGGAGGGCUUCCAGGAGCCGCCGUUCCGCCCCCUCGAGAUCUCUCGACGACGAAGUACGGCGUGUCCUCAGCGAUGCUUAAGGAGGAGCGAGAAGAAGGAGAAGACAUUGAGUUCAGUUCUCGCUGGUAUCCAUAUGCACUUCUGAAUGCCACAUCUGGCUGCCAUUUAUAUGGAGAGAGAUCUGACAGGUUGAGGUGGAGGACGGGAAGAUUAUGCAAACCACAAUGGAAAAGAAGUCAAAAAGGGGAACUGCAUUGUGGAUAAGGUUGAGGCUACGGUUCCUCACACCACUGAUGGUGCUUUGCUUUUCUCCAAAGGCCAAACAAAGCUUCACGCAAGUCAAAAGUGAAUUAUUCAGUAACUCCACUGCUACAGCUCAUCUUUUGUUGGGACAGGAUUCUAGUGGGAGGCCCAGAGAUAGCUAGUGAAGAGCCAAGGAUAGAUAGAUAACAGAUAUACUUGCAGCACUAAUGGCUUCAGCCAAUGAACCUUUUGAAGUGAUUGAUCACUGCAGAAGGCUAAGGUGCUUGAUAAAGCAAGCUGCCAUUAAUGGCUGUCCUUUGAUGGAUCCAAGAUGAAGCUAGUUAGAAAUCUGAAAGCCUCAAAGUUUCACAGGUAGACAAAUAGGCUAUUAUUACUCGACAGCAUAUUUUGCUUCCUCCUGCUUCAGUUUCAUGCUCUCGUAUCAUUAUAUGUCUCUCUGCUGCCUAGAAAAAUAAUUACAGUGGAUCAGUCAAUAUUCUGUGAGGCAUACAAGUCUUGGAUUCUUUUGCUCAGUGAAGGACAAGUGUGGAUUCUAGUGCUGCAAUUGAUUGCUUGGUCCCUGGAACCCAUGUCUAUUAAAUAAUUUGGUAAAAAUAUAAUGGAACACAAAAAAGACAAUAGGAGUACAAUAGGAGUUGAUGAGUUCUAAUUUUUGUCUAAAUUCUUAGACUUUAUUAAGCUGUUGAUUCAUGUAAAUAGUAGCCUGCUGUUCCCAC